rnacentral:rRNA from 1 species
UACGGAGGGGGUUAGCGUUGUUCGGAAUUACUGGGCGUAAAGCGCGCGUAGGCGGACAUUUAAGUCAGAGGUGAAAUCCCAGGGCUCAACCCUGGAACUGCCUUUGAUACUGGGUGUCUUGAGUUCGAGAGAGGUGAGUGGAAUUCCGAGUGUAGAGGUGAAAUUCGUAGAUAUUCGGAGGAACACCAGUGGCGAAGGCGGCUCACUGGCUCGAUACUGACGCUGAGGUGCGAAAGUGUGGGGAGCAAAC